CACCAAGCUGCCCAGAAGCUGCUGAGUAUGCACCGGUCGCCCAGAAAGGGAGGGAUUCCCCUCCUGUGCACUGGCCCGCUAAUGGGGAGCAAAGCAAAAGGAAGACGCCAAGGUUUCCCGGACACCGGACUGCUAUGAGCACAGGCAACUUUUCUCAGAGGGAUUCACCGCUUGUCUUCAAGAAGUUCAGACUCACACGCGCCACCUUUGCGCCCCGCCAAGUCUUGACCAAGGUGGGGGGAGGCGGGAAGCGCGCCUCUGGGUCUGGACUCGGUUUCUGGAAGUUCAUGAUCUGCUCCUUGCAAUGGGAA